CAUCCGCGUCUGAGGUGUUCAGGUCUUUUCUGGUGGCUUCUCUGAGUAGCUCCAAAUUGCCGUCGGCAGCUGCCUGGUGGUACCGGGUGGACAUCUUCCCCGCUGAUUGAUGUGGAAAUGUGGAGAACCAAACUCAAGGGUGGAAAAACGAGAAAUUGAAAGAAACCGAAAACGACAGAUUCUGCCUCCAGGUCCCAGCUCACAGAGGACCAACGCUAGCCGUCUCCUAAUCCUCCCUUCUGUCUCUUAAAAUGAAAAGCUACAGGCAAGCCACAAAUUGGAAGACUAAUUAAGAACUUGAAGGAAGAAUCGCUGUGUGUGCCUCAUCUCGGAACUGGAGAAAAGUAUAAGCAAUUUAAUAAACUAUCUGGACUGAUUUAAGCGCUCAGCACAGUAUUCCAUAGUUGUUCUGCUUCCUGGCAUUCAAGCAGGACUGAAAAUAGAUGCAAAGGAGCAGCUUUUGACUGGAAGAAUUGAGCUAGAAGACUGUGCUCACAAAUCCGGUCUGGCAAGUGAGAAACGGAAGAUCUUUCCUCCGGCUAACCCUUGAAUCAAAGCCUGCUAAAAACAAUGAAUGUGCUUGAUGACACCCAAGGAAGAUCACACAAAACAAGGCUGCCCUUGUGGUUUUCUGCUAGUUAUAUUUUAUUGUUAUAUUUAUUCACUAUUCCAGCAGAAGAGGAUUUCAGAAAACUUGUUUUGGUUUAUGUCAUUUUACUACCGAUGUCCCAUGCAUGUGGAAAGGAGAUUACUUGCAAAAAGUGAAGCUAAUGUAGAAAGAUUUAUUAUUUAUUAUUAUUAUUUGAAUAUUUACCGGAAGGGAAUUGAAAAUAUGGUCCA